ACUCUCUUCAUUCUAUUCAAAGUUGAAAAUCGUUCAUAAAUGGGUUUUUCUUCUAGUUCGCACAGAAAUGUUUUAACCCUUUGUUUUCUUUCUUCUAAAGUUGUAGUGUAUGAGGCAUUUGUUUGUUUAUAUUUAUGUGUUUCUUUUAGCCAGGUUGGGCCUUGCCACCACAGUGAUGAAGCAACAAGAUCAUCAGCUUGUAUACCCCUCGAAGCUAGGUCUGCAGGAUUGUCCCUUGAAGAAACAAACCGCCAAGCAGAAUUGUCCAAUAAGGAUUUCCAUCAUCAUCUAACGCCUUGACGUAGACAACAGCUGCAUAGGCGGCCGUGGAAGCAUCGGCAAAUCCAUGAAGUUCGACGUUAGUUCUGAUUUGCUAACGGAAAUUCAUUAAUUCCAUCUUCGGCCGUCUGUAAAAGCGUGCGUACUGCAAGAUAAGGAGCAGCGGCCGUUCCAAAUGUAACAGCCUUGUCUCACAAAAUCUUUACAUUGAAAAAUGUAAUGAUCGCCACUACAAAAGGUACAUUUGAGCGAAGAUACAGACGCUGUCGCGAGAAAAGAUUUGGACUUAUGUGACUUUGUUUGGUCUUCUAUCAUUUCCAAUGAUUUAAAUCGAACUUCAAGAAAUUGUGACAACUGAUGGAAAGUCGGCAUUUUGUCAUUUUCUGAGGAAAUAUGCUGCUCCCACAACCGGUGACUGGUAGGAUCUAGUUUUGUAACUGUAAUGUAUACUAUUAUGUCGUCCCAAGUGUCUGUUUGUAUACCAAUGUUUUUUAAAGAACUAAGACACUCAGACGUAGU